rnacentral:rRNA from 1 species
CCUACGGGAGGCUGCAGUGGGGAAUAUUGGACAAUGGGGGGAACCCUGAUCCAGCCAUGCCGCGUGUGUGAAGAAGGCCCUCGGGUUGUAAAGCACUUUCAGUGAGGAAGAACGCCUGGUGGUUAAUACCCAUCAGGAAAGACAUCACUCACAGAAGAAGCACCGGCUAACUCCGUGCCAGCAGCCGCGGUAAUACGGAGGGUGCGAGCGUUAAUCGGAAUUACUGGGCGUAAAGCGCGCGUAGGUGGCUUGAUAAGCCGGUUGUGAAAGCCCCGGGCUCAACCUGGGAACGGCAUCCGGAACUGUCAAGCUAGAGUGCAGGAGAGGAAGGUAGAAUUCCCGGUGUAGCGGUGAAAUGCGUAGAGAUCGGGAGGAAUACCAGUGGCGACGGCGGCCUUCUGGACUGACACUGACACUGAGGUGCGAAAGCGUGGGUAGCAAACAGGAUUAGAUACCCUUGUAA